rnacentral:ncRNA from 1 species
CUAGUCUGCGCCAGUCGCUGCUCAUCAGCGACCGGGUGUGGUAGCCCGACGU